AAAAAACAGAUUUGUAUGGAGUUGGAACGUUUGCCUACGUUUGCAGCUAGGGGCGCUGUUCCAACUGCAUACAAAUUAGAGUUA
rfam:Bombyx mori DNA, contig: Bm_scaf29_contig18603, strain: p50T/Dazao, build 2, whole genome shotgun sequence.